rnacentral:rRNA from 1 species
CCUACGGGGGGCAGCAGUGAGGAAUAUUGGUCAAUGGACGAGAGUCUGAACCAGCCAAGUAGCGUGAAGGAUGACUGCCCUAUGGGUUGUAAACUUCUUUUAUAUGGGAAUAAAAUGUUCCACGUGUGGGAUUUUGUAUGUACCAUAUGAAUAAGGAUCGGCUAACUCCGUGCCAGCAGCCGCGGUAAUACGGAGGAUCCGAGCGUUAUCCGGAUUUAUUGGGUUUAAAGGGAGCGUAGGUGGAUUGUUAAGUCAGUUGUGAAAGUUUGCGGCUCAACCGUAAAAUUGCAGUUGAAACUGGCAGUCUUGAGUACAGUAGAGGUGGGCGGAAUUCGUGGUGUAGCGGUGAAAUGCGUAGAUAUCACGAAGAACUCCGAUUGCGAAGGCAGUUCACUGGACUGCAACUGACACUGAGGCUCGAAAGUGUGGGUAUCAAACAGGAUUAGAUACCCCUGUAGUC